rnacentral:lncRNA from 1 species
CUUAGCCUGGAGAGAUACAUAAGCAACAUUUAUAGGGGUGGUGGAGAGCAGCCGAAGCAAGAGAGGCCAGGAGAGGCUGGUGGUGAAAGUGCAGCCCAGUUGCAGCAGAGAUCCCAGCAUUUUGGAGUUGCCAGCGCCAUGGGAUGACCAUCAAGAACAGCAGCGGCAGUGGAAUGAAGCCGGCCGGAGCCCGGAAGACGAGCUGUGUGUGCUGCAGAGGUUGGAGCCAGAGAAGUGACCCAAGCUCCUUGGAGGAACCUCCCCCCCCAAAAAAAAAAUCGAGAUCACAUCUGAAAGUGACACAAGCUAGGGUCAUCAGAGAGGAGGGAGCCUCAAUUAAGAAAAUGUCUCCACAAGAUCAGGCUGCAGGCAAGCCUGAGGGCAGGUUUCCUUAGUGAUUGAUGAGGGAGGGCCCAGCCCACUGUGGGUGGAGCCAUCCCUGGUCCUGGGUUCUAAAAGAAAGCAGGCUGAGCAAGCCAUGGGAAGCAAGCCAGUAAGCAGCUCUCCUUCAUGGCCUCUGCAUCAGUCCCUACCUCCAGGUUCCUGCCCUGUUUGAGUUCCUGUCCUGACUUCCUUCAGUGAUGAACAGUUGUAGGGAGACACCGUAACCACACCUUCUAAGGGCUGGCUACAGGUGUGCUUGACCACGUCUGUCAGGGCAUGGUCAAGGGGUGUUCAGGAUGACCCAUGGGGGGUUCUUAAGGUGCUGCAGACACGUGGGAGCCCCUUCUCUCUGGCCUCUCUAGCUUGCUGCCUCUGGGCAUGCUCUGGCUUGCGCUUGACUGGUAUUUUCUGAAUAAAGGUCUUUUGGAUCUAUAAGCCAUCUCCAUCGGGUACAAACAGUGUUGUGGAAGUGUG